rnacentral:rRNA from 1 species
UACGGAGGGUGCGAGCGUUGUCCGGAAUCAUUGGGCGUAAAGGGCGCGUAGGUGGCGGGACAAGCGUGCGGUGAAAGCCUGGGGCUCAACCCCGGGUCGGCCGUGCGAACUGUUUUGCUUGAGCACUGUAGAGGCAGGCGGAAUUCCGGGUGUAGCGGUGGAAUGCGUAGAGCUCGGGAAGAACAUCGGUGGCGAAAGCGCUCUACUGGACUGCAACUGACACUCAGGGACGAAAGCUAGGGGAGCGAAUGGG